UCCAAACACAAAAGUUACGUUGACAAAAAGAACGGUUGAUACUUGAUAGCUUAAAGCCUAAUGGCUUCACCUUCACCUUCAAGCUCCAUCCUUCUUUCUCAAUCUCUGAUCGAUUUCAAAUUCCACCACUGAAAACCCAGUUUCCGAAGACGUUUCUUUCGAGCUCCAGCAAUGGGAUUCAGAUUCCACAAUCUCAAUUCUGUACGCAAAAGGCUCGCUUUCCACGUUCACAAGCACAAUCAUCGUCCUCCUCUUCCCAGUCCCACAAUAUCCCAGCCCCUCGAUUCCCAUCUGCAAAACCCUAUUUACUCGAUCGCCAGACGGUGGCAUUUGGGCCACUCCCACCACCAAAACGAUGAUCAGCAUCGCCUCUCCGGUGAAGAGGGGGAGAAGAUUUUCCGGAUGGGAUUGGCAGCUGAUGUUGGACUGGCUGCCGGGAAAGCUUUGACGGGUUACUUGUCCGGAAGCACGGCGAUCAUUGCUGAUGCCGCCCAUUCGGUCUCCGACGUGGUUCUUAGCAGCGUUGCUUUAUGGUCAUUUAAAGCUGCAAAGGCUCCGAAAGACAAAGAACACCCAUAUGGACACGGUAAAUUUGAGACUCUUGGAGCACUUGGAAUCUCUUGUAUGCUGUUGGCCACGGCUGGUGGCAUUGCAUGGCAUGCUUUGGAUCUUUUGAUGGGAUUGUUUUCAGCAGAUCCUGCUAUAGUUAGUCAGUCAUUGACACAUGAGCAUGGGCAUAGUCAUCGUCAUCAUGGAGUUGACAUGGAGUACCCUGUUCUAGCACUGAGCAUGACUGUUUUUUCAAUAUCUGUUAAGGAAGGACUUUACUGGAUUACAUUACGGGCUGGGGAAAGACAAGGUAGUGGACUGAUGAAAGCAAAUGCAUGGCAUCAUCGUGCAGAUGCCAUUUCGUCAGUAGUUGCUCUCAUUGGAGUUGGAGGUUCAAUCCUUGGAGUAAAGUUUCUGGAUCCCCUAGCUGGACUUCUUGUCGCAGGCAUGAUCCUGAAGGCGGGAAUUGAAACUGGGCAUCAGAGUGUCUUGGAACUGGUGGAUGCUGCAAUCCCAGCAGAACUUUUGGAUCCUAUGAAACAAACAAUUGUACAAGUCGAGGGUGUGAAGGGUUGUCAUCGCUUGAGGGCAAGGAGGGCUGGUUCAUCUCUAUACCUUGAUGUACAUAUUGAGGUUGAUCCUUUUUGUAGUGUUAGCGCUGCACAUGACAUUGGAGAAAAUGUUCGUCGUCAGAUUCACAAAUCCCAUCCUGAAGUCUCUGAGGUUUUCAUACACAUAGAUCCUUCAAUUUCACAAAUUUGCCCCAGUGAAGAUCAGCCAGAAAUUCUCAAAGAAACUGCAUGCCCAAAUGUUUCUCCUGCAGAAAAAGACAUUGAGGCAGCUGUUUCUACCAUCAUCUCGUCGAAGUAUGCAGAGACACCCAAUGUUCUUGUUUCUGCUUGUGUUUCAGAAAAUGGUUGUUGAACGCAUAACGCAUCACUUGUUACAAGGCAAGAUGUAUCUCCAAAUUGAGGUUUCCAUGCCCCCGGACAUUGUAAUUCGAGAUGCAAUGGAGGUGGCAAAAGAAGCCGAGCAAGACAUUUUGACGGCGGCGACGAAUCUCAUUCACGUCGGCAUUCAGCUGCGUCUGAGGAAUCCAAUUCCACAGUUCAACAGUGACUAAGAAGCCAGAAAGAAGGCAAGUGUGUGUUAGACUACAGGGUUUUCCAAUUCCACAAUAAAAAUUUAUUCUUUUAGGUUUUAGAUUAUUUGCAUAUAUGAUAUAUUAGAAUAAUAAAUUAAUCUUUGAUUACGAAAAUAAUAUAUUAAUUAUUAAAAUUUGUCUCUCAUAAA